AAAACAAGAUAUUCUGUGUUUACUCAUGUUUAUAUUAAAAACUUCCAAUGACUCAAACUGAUGUACAACAAAGUGAACUGUGAGCUAUUGCUCAUUAACGAUAACCCCGCUAUAAGCUAUUUGUUAACAGGAAGAUGAUGAGUGAUGGAUGUAAAAACGCAUUACACUGUAUAGCAUGUUCUCAUGAAAGUUAAUUUUAAAUUUCAGAAAGCCUUGAUUUGAAGUUCCUGAGAAAAAUGAGACAAAAUUUUAUACAUGGCCAUUAUAUAUAAGAAUAUAUAAGUAUUCGUUCAACAGAAAGUGAAUGAGCAUUAAAUCUGAAAAUGCAUCACAUACUAAAGCAUACUAUUGUGAAGCUUGAUGCCAAAUUUUAGGGAGCUCUGUUAUGUAGAUCCCGAGAAAAAUGUGACAAAAUUUCUAUGCAUGCCUAUUAUGUGCAAGAGAAGUAUUUCAGUGAACAGGAAGUGAAUGAGUGAUGAAUAGGACAAAUAUAUGAAGCUUGAUACCAAGUUUCAGGAAACUUGGAGUUUCUGAGAAAAAUGCAACCAAAACAUUUUUAGUGACUGACAGAUAAUGAAUGGAUAAGGUGAUUGCAAUAUAGGUUGAGAGUUUGUGCAUAAUAUCCAAUUUUCAGUAAACAAACAAAUUUUGUUUCAAUUGGCUGUCUAGUUCAAAGGAGUAAUUUUGAAAAAGUUAUGGCAAAUGACAAAAUAUAAAUAAGAUUUGGGCCUGAGACGACUGUAUGAGAACAAAUAUUCAUAAGCGGUUAUACAUGUGUCUCACCUGCGAUUGCUGCUGUCAGUGUAAAAGUGUAAUGUUGAUUUAAAAAGUGAGUCCAUUUAUCAGUAAAAUACUGAAUUUAUAAAAAAAAAUCAAAUUUUUUUAUAGAUGCUAUUUCUUGGUCUUGAAGAUAGAUUCUGUCCAAGUUUCAUAACAAUUCAUGAAGGUUUAUAAAUUUAUCAUGCCAACAAAAUUUAAUCCCAAACUGUCUGUAAAUGUUAACUGUGAAAAACUAUGCCCAUCUAUCAGAAAAAUACUGAAAAUGAAAAAAAAAUAUUUUUGAAAAGUUUGCUUCAAACAUUAUAAUUAAUAACCUCAGACUGAGCCUGAGUGUUAACUGUAAAAAUAAAAUGCUUCGCUGGGCGCAGCUUGUUACGACCGCAGAGGUCGAACCCUGAACAGUUGGGGCAAGUAUGGACACAACAUUCAAGCUUGAUACAGCUCUGAAUUUGGAUUGUGAUUAAAUAUUUGACACAGCAUAGGUUUCUGACACAGAAUGAAUGUGGUCUAAGAACUUAAAAUUUUUUAAUUUACCUAUUCAAACCAUAUCAUAAUUAUUUGCUUUUAUAUAUAAAUCAGAAAUAACCAAUUUAAAAAGGAAA